rnacentral:rRNA from 1 species
GUCUGUGGCCAUGCCACCCUGAACAAGCCUGAUGUCUGAUCUCGGAAUCUAAGCAGGGUUGGGUCUGGUUAGUACUUGGAUGGGAGACCACCUAAGAAGACCAGGUGCUGUAGGCA